GAGAGAGAGAGGGAGAGGAAGCUGUGAGAGUGAGAAAGCGAGAAGAAAGCCAUUUCUCAGUUCUCACCACCUCGCCGGAGAAAGAAUAAUUUUGCUUCUUGUUCAUGCGGUACCACACGUUUUCACAUUUUCUUUUCUUUUGUAUCUUUAAUCACUUAACCUGUUUUCGAGAUCAAUUUAUUCUCUUUGAUCCUGUAAUUACCAUCUUCGUUUCUGGUUAUCGUCUUCUAGUUUCUAUGCUUCUGUUGUAAAUUUAGCUAUAUUUUUAAUUUGUUUCAAGAUUUUA